CUUCUCUGGAGUAAGACAGCUGAACUUGAGGUUUUGUCACUGGCAAUUUACCUUACAAUAUUGAGUCCUGCUCUCACUGCACCCUGCGGCCCAUUUAAUCAGGGAGCCGGAUUAAGGCUGAGCAGCCCAGCCCCAGACGAGACGUACAGUAACGUGACUCUCUACUAGGGACUCAAGAUGGAUGGGCUGGGCUACAGCCGGGAUGGAACGCCUCCAUUGGGCCGUUUGGCCUGGUGGAGCCCAUCAAUCAGGGCGGCACCAGAGGUCCAGGCUGAGUCUGUGUAAUGAUGCAAACAGCAUGUGGCCAAGCCAUCCCUGGCUGCUCAGGUGUGAGGGUCUGCCCUGUCCACCAGUCCUCUCAGCUCCUUCACCGCUAUCAUCCAUCAUGUGCCGGUCAGAUUCAUGGCAUGCAACAGAUUUCAGAAGGUUAGGUUUGACAAAAAAUUACCCUGGAUCAAACUCAUUGCAAACUCAAGUUCAAAAUUAAAUAUGAAAGGAUGAUAA